rnacentral:rRNA from 1 species
AAAUUGAAGAGUUUGAUCAUGGCUCAGAUUGAACGCUGGCGGCAGGCCUAACACAUGCAAGUCGAACGGUAACAGGAAGCAGCUUGCUGCUUCGCUGACGAGUGGCGGACGGGUGAGUAAUGUCUGGGAAACUGCCUGAUGGAGGGGGAUAACUACUGGAAACGGUGGCUAAUACCGCAUAACGUCGCAAGACCAAAGAGGGGGACCUUCGGGCCUCUUGCCAUCAGAUGUGCCCAGAUGGGAUUAGCUAGUUGGUGAGGUAACGGCUCACCAAGGCGACGAUCCCUAGCUGGUCUGAGAGGAUGACCAGCCACACUGGAACUGAGACACGGUCCAGACUCCUACGGGAGGCAGCAGUGGGGAAUAUUGCACAAUGGGCGCAAGCCUGAUGCAGCCAUGCCGCGUGUAUGAAGAAGGCCUUCGGGUUGUAAAGUACUUUCAGCGGGGAGGAAGGUGUUGUGGUUAAUAACCGCAGCAAUUGACGUUACCCGCAGAAGAAGCACCGGCUAACUCCGUGCCAGCAGCCGCGGUAAUACGGAGGGUGCAAGCGUUAAUCGGAAUUACUGGGCGUAAAGCGCACGCAGGCGGUCUGUCAAGUCGGAUGUGAAAUCCCCGGGCUCAACCUGGGAACUGCAUUCGAAACUGGCGGGCUUGAGUCUUGUAGAGGGGGGUAGAAUUCCAGGUGUAGCGGUGAAAUGCGUAGAGAUCUGGAGGAAUACCGGUGGCGAAGGCGGCCCCCUGGACAAAGACUGACGCUCAGGUGCGAAAGCGUGGGGAGCAAACAGGAUUAGAUACCCUGGUAGUCCACGCCGUAAACGAUGUCUACUUGGAGGUUGUGCCCUUGAGGCGUGGCUUCCGGAGCUAACGCGUUAAGUAGACCGCCUGGGGAGUACGGCCGCAAGGUUAAAACUCAAAUGAAUUGACGGGGGCCCGCACAAGCGGUGGAGCAUGUGGUUUAAUUCGAUGCAACGCGAAGAACCUUACCUGGUCUUGACAUCCACAGAACUUUCCAGAGAUGGAUUGGUGCCUUCGGGAACUGUGAGACAGGUGCUGCAUGGCUGUCGUCAGCUCGUGUUGUGAAAUGUUGGGUUAAGUCCCGCAACGAGCGCAACCCUUAUCCUUUGUUGCCAGCGGUUAGG